rnacentral:rRNA from 1 species
CACGUAGGGCGCAAGCGUUGUCCGGAAUCACUGGGCGUAAAGCGCACGUAGGCGGCUUUCUAAGUCAGGGGUGAAAUCCUGGAGCUCAACUCCAGAACUGCCUUUGAUACUGGAGAGCUUGAGUCCGGGAGAGGUGAGUGGAACUCCGAGUGUAGAGGUGAAAUUCGUAGAUAUUCGGAAGAACACCAGUGGCGAAGGCGGCUCACUGGCCCGGUACUGACGCUGAGGUGCGAAAGCGUGGGGAGCAAACAGG